rnacentral:rRNA from 1 species
CCUACGGGAGGCUGCAGUGGGGAAUAUUGCACAAUGGGGGAAACCCUGAUGCAGCGACGCCGCGUGAGUGAAGAAGUAAUUCGUUAUGUAAAGCUCUAUCAGCAGGGAAGAAAAUGACGGUACCUGAGUAAGAAGCCCCGGCUAACUACGUGCCAGCAGCCGCGGUAAUACGUAGGGGGCAAGCGUUAUCCGGAUUUACUGGGUGGAAAGGGAGCGUAGACGGCAGUGCAAGUCUGGAGUGAAAGGCGGGGGCUCAACCCCCGGACUGCUCUGGAAACUGUACGGCUGGAGUGCAGGAGAGGUAAGUGGAAUUCCUAGGGUAGCGGUGAAAUGCGUAGAUAUUAGGAGGAACACCAGUGGCGAAGGCGGCUUACUGGACUGUAACUGACGUUGAGGCUCGAAAGCGUGGGGAGCAAACAGGAUUAGAUACCCCUGUAGUC